AUGAACAGAACCUCAUCCAGGAAGUCCCCAACAUCUGGCAACGUGAAGUUGGCUAGGAGGAAGGAAGUGCCCCAAAGGGAACAAGAAGAAGAGGACCCUGCAUUGACGUUCCUCUGGGAAGCACUCAUUUCCUACCUUUCAUUUCUAAGACCGCAUGAUCUGGGACAUCCUUCCCUUCCUCGUCGGUUCGCUUUAUUGUUCGGUCUUUUAGGUCCUCGUCAGUGGGACAAAUUACAAUAGCUUUGCGCUGGAA